rnacentral:rRNA from 1 species
UACGAAGGGGGCUAGCGUUGUUCGGAAUCACUGGGCGUAAAGCGCACGUAGGCGGAUUUUUAAGUCAGGGGUGAAAUCCCGGGGCUCAACCUCGGAACUGCCUUUGAUACUGGAGAUCUUGAGUCCGGAAGAGGUAAGUGGAACUGCGAGUGUAGAGGUGAAAUUCGUAGAUAUUCGCAAGAACACCAGUGGCGAAGGCGGCUUACUGGUCCGGAACUGACGCUGAGGUGCGAAAGCGUGGGGAGCAAC